rnacentral:lncRNA from 1 species
GGGUGACAGCGGCAAAAGCCAAACGUCCAGAGCAAUAGAUAUGCCGCCCACGGACAGCUAACUCGCAGGCACCAAAGUGCAUUAGAGGCGUAGAAUGCCACGAGUAUUUCUCACAAUCGGCAAGUCAGCAACAC